rnacentral:rRNA from 1 species
UACGUAGGGCGCAAGCGUUGUCCGGAAUUAUUGGGCGUAAAGAGCUCGUAGGUGGUUUGUUACGUCUGCUGUGAAAACCUAGGGCUUAACCCUGGGCCUGCAGUGGAUACGGGCAGACUAGAGGUAGGUAGGGGAGAAUGGAAUUCCCGGUGUAGCGGUGAAAUGCGCAGAUAUCAGGAGGAACACCAAUGGCGAAGGCAGCUCGCUGGGACGGUACUGACGCUGAGACGCGAAAGCGUGGGGAGCAAACAGG